AAGAUGACUGGAUGUAGAAGCUGUGGUAUGUACAUGAUCCUGGAGGGGGUACCUGUAAAGAAUUUCGUCUGCAUGAAGUGCCGCCUGAUAGAGCUGAUGGAAGAGAAGAGCCUAGGACUGGAGAUGCAGGUUGCACUGGCAGUAAUACCUGG